rnacentral:rRNA from 1 species
CAAUAGCGUAUAUUAAAGUUGUUGCAGUUAAAAAGCUCGUAGUUGGAUUUCUGUGAGAGUGCCGGUGUCGGCUGAUGCUUGUACGCAGGCGCUCUUACAUCCUUCUGUUAACUGAUCUUGGCAUUUUAUUGCUGGUUCAGGGCUCAGAUAUUUUACCUUGAGAAAAUUAGAGUGUUUCAGGCAGGCUUAUGCCGGAAUACAUUAGCAUGGAAUAAUGGAACAGGACCUGUGCGUCUUUCGGGGCGCCGGUCUCCGUUAUUGGUUUCGGGGACUAAAGUAAUGAUUAAUAGGGAUAGUUGGGGGCAUUGGUAUUUAAUAGUCAGAGGUGAAAUUCUCGGAUUUGUUAAAGACUAACUUAUGCGAAAGCAUUUGCCAAGGAUGUUUNCAUUA